ACUCAACUCAACUGCACUCCGACUUGACUGUAGUCAUAAUUUGACAAAAAGCAAACCUUGAUCCCUAUGAAAGGAACUUUAGAGAGCUCCUAUUGCCAAUCUCAUGUUCCCAGCAACAAUAACAAUAAGGUCUCAGUCACAGAGGAGAACCUUAACUUCCACGUCUGGGCUGCCCAAGCACACAGGGUUUUCUUAGGCAUCACAUCUCUACCACCAUCUUUAGAAGGAAAAAGUGGGAAACAGAGAAGGAAAAAGAUAAAAAGAAGAGGUUGGAGAAAUAUAUCUAAUUCACGAUCACAGCUAUGGAUCUGAAUGACAAAGAAUUACCCACAACACAAAAGAGUAUAGCAAGAUGGGUUAGAAAGCAGAAUCCAACAACAUGUCAUUUAUAAGAAACAGACUUGAAACAGAUUCACACAAUUAAAAUAAGAAGCUGGAUCAAAAUCUAAGAACUCUGCUCAAUCUGACAUGAGAACCCUGAAACUGAUGGGGGACCCUGAAACUGUCUCUCUCUAAAACUCCUUGAAGAAGAGAGUCCCUGUAAAAGACCCGACCCAGCGAAUCAGGAUAAGAUUCAUUCUGUUAUCCAGAAGGAGACUAGUACAACCACUCACUACUGAAAAUUCUCUAUUCAAAUCAAAGAUUCGGUCUGAUUUCAACUCUAAUUGUCCCUAGCCCUAGGCCAGUGUCUGCCCAUAAAACUAGUACAGCAAACCUCUUUACAACAUCUACUGACUGAAUUAGGGGUUUUUGUCCACUAAGAGAAUUCUUUUCUUAGUGAAAAAAGAAAUAAACUUUCCUUAUUUCCACAGA